UCUAGCUAAUCGUUUGUUCAUUGAUCGUGCAGGUGCUCACCUAUCGUGACAUCCUAGCAAAGAUCGGCAAGACGAACUCAGUUAUCGACUACAUAAAGGUUGACAUCGAGGGCUACGAGGUUGACUUCCUAGAGAACGUGCUUUACGACGACCAGGAACUACUCUUCAGAAUCAAACAGAUCGGCAUGGAACUACACCCAUCGAUUUUCAUAACUGAAAUGUCGGCGGCAAAGCAGAAGUACUGGCGGCUCGUCCACAAGCUGCGAAGUUUAGGUUUCACACCGAUAUUCGGUGAGCCCAUUCCUAUAUGGUACCUCUCAUUAACGUACGAUGGAAAAACAGAAUCGUGUUGUUAUGAAAUUGUAUGGAUUAAUAACCGCUUUGUGAAAAAAUGAAUUUUUAUUCGAAGUUUAUAACAAAACAAUUUCUAUGAGACGUUUCGUAUUAUAGUUAAAACCAUAAGGGUAUGAAUCACAAAUGCAAGUCGUUAGGAAUGAUACUAAUAGAAGUAUGGUACACGCUACAAAAUAUAUAACGAGUAAUGCGAAACAAGCUUUUUCAAUUUCAAUUGUUUUUCAUAAUGUGCAAUUUACCGCGUUUAAAAUAAAAAUAAUUGAAGCGUAUCUAAUUCUUCAUUGUAACUUAAUCAAGUGACAACCUCCACAUCAUAGCAUGUGAACUCUCUUAAAUUAACAAUAAAUUUCACGAUCACAUUCGGGUUCUUAUUGGCUGUGGGAGUUCAAAUGAAAGCUUAAUACGGCAUAGAUGUCGAGACCAUAUAUAAAUUGCCUUAAAUGGUUGCAAGCAAAGCGAUGUAUGAUUUUAAUGCAAACGAUGAUCUCGUUAAAAAAAUGGUAAUUAACUUACGUAAAAAUUUCUUAAUCUAGAUAAAUUUAAUCGAAUGACUUUGCUGAUUGCAAAAUUGUUGUGUUUAGAACACGCAGGUGCAUUUUAUUAUUUUUUUUUU